rnacentral:rRNA from 1 species
GACAGAGGAGGCGAGCGUUAUCUGGAGUUAUUGGGCGUAAAGGGUACGUAGGCGGCUGGUCAAGUCUGGGGUUAAAGACCACAGCUUAACUGCGGGGGGGCCUUGGAAACUGACCGGCUGGAGUGGGGCAGGGGUUGCGGGAAUUCCCGGUGUAGCGGUGAAAUGCGUAGAUAUCGGGAAGAACACCUGAGGCGAAAGCGCGCAACUGGGCCCUAACUGACGCUGAGGUCCGAAAGCUAGGGGAGCGAAUGAG